rnacentral:lncRNA from 1 species
CUCGUUCGGGAUUCAGGCUGUAUAUGAGUUAGUGAGGACUGAAGAGAGGAGAGUUAAACAAACAAGCAAACAAACAAACACACAGGGCAAGAAAACAGGACCCAACAGCAGACGCUGACACCCUCCCGACCUGCAGUGCAGAGUGAUUCCAAGAACCGCGCGCGACAUUCCGUGUCUCAGGAAAGAUGGUACCCACACUAAGCUCAGCCAAGAACGGCCUCCGCGCCCGCUUAAUUUUCCGAACCUGUUCUUGUGGUGCUGAUGGGGAGGGUGGCCGGGAAGAGAGGAGAGACCACUGAUCAAGUUGCUGUUUGUAUAUUGGUUGAUUGCUGUUUGCUGUUUGUUUAUUGAUUGAUUUUUUUUUAUUGGCCCCUGGCCGAGGAUGAGCUAAGAAGCCUUUUGCAUACCUUGACCUGACCUCACUUAUCCUUCCACACUUCUACACCCUUUUCCUUCCUGCGCAGGGUCCUGAGCAGGUCUAAAUCAAGCAGUGCUUAGAGCCUCCCACAACGGGCCUUCAACCAUAUUUGGAAGAAAAGAAGGAAUCCAGAGAGGAAAUGGUUACCUGUGCUUACAGGCGGUCUGCACCACAAGCGCUGACUCAGCAAGAGGGAACUCUGCGUACCCCUGUCCCGAAAGCCCCUUGAGCAAGGACGUCAGAAAGAGACUAAAAUGGAGGGACAGCCUCCGAGGGCCCUGGAGCAGGGUAACAUGAGAUCUAUGACUAUCUAGUCAUUCGCUACCUGCAUUUGAAAGCAUAUGCAUUAUUAUGGUUGUCACCAUUUAUAGUAGUAUACUUAGACGUUGUCCAUCGAAUCUGGACGCAUACUCAAUUUGAAACUAAAUAAAACCUAAAGGAACAUAGGUGACCAUGAGGGACUCCAGGGAACAUUCUCUGGGACGGAACUCUGUGAAGAGUGGAGAAGAGGCCUCUAGGAUCAAGCUAUUCAUCAUGGAUACAGCCUCAGAUCCAGGACCUCCACCCUCUGGUGCAGUAUUUCCAGGAUAUUAGUGGGGGACUGUGGACCAUUCAAGCCUUGGAACAAGUCUAGCCCAACCACUGUCUAACUUUGCUGCUGACGGAAGCCUGACCCAGCCCUGACCUCGUAGACCUUAUAGGAAUAUGUUCUCAGCUCACUGCUCCACAUUUCUGGCCCUGUGACCUCACCAAACAAACACCUGCCUAUCUCAGAGCAUUGUAUCUAUUCAUGUUGAUUUCUGUCUCUUCCUUAUUAGUCUCUUGCACAAACCAUGAACUGGAUGAAAGCAAGAACGGGAUCGUUUGGGUUCUGUGGGUGACAUCAGGACUUGACUGUGGACUUGACUUGCAUCUGGCACAGCCUGCUCGCCAGCUCCUAUUCCCUUGCCCACCUGUUCUUUGACCUUGAACGCCCAACCCCUUUUUCUUGGCAUCAGUAUCGUCCUCUCUAAGAGCAGAGAUUAGGAUUAAUAAAUCUAUGACGUGCUUGUCACAGGGACUAAUGA